rnacentral:lncRNA from 1 species
UUUUGGCCCUGGCGUUCCCCUGUACUGGGGCAUAUAAAGUUUGCAAGUCCAAUGGGCCUCUCUUUUCAGUGAUGGCUGACUAGGCCAUCUUUUGAUACAUAUGCAGCUAGAGUCAAGAGCUCCAGGGUACUGGUUAGUUCAUAUUGUUGUUCCACCUAUAGGGUUGCAGAUCUCUUUAGCUCCUUGGGUACUUUCUCUAGCUCCUCCAUUGGGAGCCCUGUGAUUCAUCCAAUAGCUGACUGUGAUCAUCCACUUCUGUGUUUGCUAGGCCCCGGCAUAGUCUCACAAGAGAGAGCUAUAUCUGGGUCCUUUCAGCAAAAUCUUGCUAGUGUAUGCAAUGGGGUCAGCGUUUGGAAGCUGAUUAUGGGAUGGAUCCCCGGAUAUGGCAGUCUCUAAAUGGUCCAUCCUUUCGUCACAGCUCCAAACUUUGUCUCUGUAACUCCUUCCAUGGGUGUUUUGUUCCCAAUUCUAAGAAGGGUCCAACCCUCUUUUUAAAGGUUAAUUAAUUUAUUUUAUUAAAACAAGUGCUCUUAAUCACUGAGCCUUGGUAAUAGUUUUAAAUAUAUCCAUAACCUCUGUCUUUCCACUUCUUUAGCAAAGGUACAAUUGAAUUCUCUCCCUUGGCCUUGGAGACUGACUUAGAGCAGAUAGAACGUGGACAACGUGACUCUGAGGCCCCUCUAAGUUUAGAUUAUCAAAGCCACAUGGCUCCCGCCUGGUUCACUGUAGGCAUCUCCCGUUGCCCUCUGGGAAGUGUGCUUUACCCCAGCCUUCAUUUGGACAGACCGCCUGGAUGGGGAGCUUCUGGCACUGGGUGAGGAAGGGAAGAGCAAACUGACUCUGUCCCAGCCACCCGAUGUCUCUCAUGAGAGGCUCAGAUGAUCCUAGCCUCCUCAGGCCUAGAAGCAAAAUAAAUGUUGCUGGAGAUACAGGUUUUCAGCAUUGUUUAGCACAGUUUGUCACACAGUCACAGAACUAGGACAGUCACAUUGUGGUUACGUUAGAUCACCAAGCUAUUUAUAAAAAGCCUUAAAUUAAUAACAUGAGCCUCCUGUUCUCAAUUUCCUUUUCUUCUCUCUCUGUCUCUGUCUGUCUCUCUCUGUCUCUUUGUCUCUCUGUCUCUGUCUCUCUCUCUGGUUUUUGUUUUGUUUUUCUGAUACAAGGUAUCUCUGUGUAGCCCUGGCCAUUCUAGAAUUUGCUUUGUGGACCAGGCCGGUCUUGAACUCACAGAGAUCUAUCUGCCUGUAACUCCAGAGUACUGGGAUCAAAAGCGUGCACCACUAUACCAGGCUCUCCAAUUUCUUUUCAAGUUUUUUUUUUUCAAAACACGAUUUCAAUCUGAUUAUUAAUAUAAAUAUUAAAACAUCAACAUUUAAAAUCAUUACCUUUCUCUUCUCUCUCUCUCUCUCUUUUCUUUUUUAGAUUAUUUCUUUUGAUUUAAUGUGUAUUGGUGUUUCACCUGUAUGUGUGGUCUGGGCACCAUGUGCAUGCAGUACCAGUGGAUACCAGAAGAGGGUGUCAGAUCUCCUAGAACUGAAGAAACAGGUGGCUGUUAGCCCCACAUGGGUGCCAAUUGAACUCAGGUUCUCUGGAAGAGUACCAAGUGUUCCCGACAGCCAAACCAUCUCUUCAGCCCCUCAUUAUGUGUCUUUAUUGGUACAUAGUUUAUUUUGUUGUUGUUGGACAUAGGACCUCUUGGAGCCCACAAUGGCACUGAAUUCACUAUUUAAUUGAAGUUGGCCUUGAACUCCUGAUUCCCCUGACUCCACCUCUCAAAUGCUAAGAUUACAUGUCUGUGCAGUCAUGGCCAGCAAUCAGCUCAAUUUUUGUUAAAAGAGCAGGCUGACAUAUGAUGGGGAUGUUAUUGACUCUAUGGCUCAAACUGAGUAGAGCUGACAGUUUAAUAAUAUUAGGUCUGAAGAUGGAACAGCUCUCCAUUACAUAGGGCUUCAAUAAUCUGCCAAUUGGUAGUUAAACACGAAGAACUCUUGUGUUUCAUUUCUUUUUUAUAUAUAUAUUUAUUUAUUAUAUGUAAGUACACUGUAGCUGUCUUCAGACAUCCCGGAAGAGGGCAUCAGAUCUCAUUACGGAUGGUUGUGAGCCACCAUGUGGUUGCUGGGAUUUGAACUCAGGAUCUCUGGAAGAGCAGUCAGCGCUCUUAACCACUGAGCCAUCUCUCCAGCCCUGUGUUUCAUUUCUUAAAUUUAUUCCUAAUUAUAUGGAUUUGUUUUGUUUUUCACAAAUAACUCACAGGCUGAGCUUGAGCUAGUGAGUAGCUUACCAUCUCAGCCUCCUAGGUGCUAGGAUUCCAGGUGUGAGCCACUCCACUCGGCUAACUAUGUGUUUGAUGCCACUGUAAAUGAAAUUGUUUUCAAACUUUAUUUUCUAGUUAUUUAUUCCUUUUAUAUAGGGAUGGCAUAAAAU